AUGUUCCAACAAUGGGCCUCCUCAAGUGCCCUAGGUCUUCGUGAGCAAGCAAGUUGGAUGCACACCCACUUAGUUUCUUUUGUUGAGCUUUCAUACAUUUAUAGCUCUAGUGCAUCUGUUGCAUGGCAAUCCCUACUCCUUGCAUUAACAUCAAUCAAUGGGCAUCUCCAUAGCUCAUUGAUUAGCCUCGUUGAUGUGAGACUUUCUCCUUUUUGUCUUCUCCACAUAACCCCCAUCAUCAUAUUCUAUUCCACCCAUAGUGCUAUAUCCAUGGCUCGCGCUCAUGUAUUGCGUGAAGGUUUAUAA
rnacentral:rRNA from 1 species